UAUAGCGGCUUUGUUUUUUUGACUCCUGUGACUCCAGCAGCCAGGCGUGGCGCCGACCGGCAUCUCUGGGGCCGUCCCUCAUCGGCAGAGGAAAACGUUCGGCAAAGACGAGUAGGAAAAUAACUUUUCGUUCAGAUUCUGAUGUGAACUGGAGUUGGGGGGGACCGGGAGGACUUGAUUCUAAGGGAAACUGCUGAGGAUCUGCACCCAUCGGUACUGCAGCCUGGUCAAUACCGUCGCUCCCAGCGAGGAGAAAGGAUUGCUGCUAUACACUGACCAAACUGCACCUGGAUGAAUUGCACUGUCACAGGUGGAGCAUUGAGGAAAUUUACUCUAGGAAGGGUGAAGACACUGAACUUUGCUCAUCUUCACUGGGGCUCCUUUAACUGUGUAGUGCAAUGCUCCCUUCUGGCCCUGGCCCCACUACAUGUUUGAAAACCAAACUCCAUCCCUGCCCUGCCAGCUCCUUCAGUCCACACCUUUCUGCAGUGAAACACAGUGAGGAGAGGUUUCCUCUCGCUCCCAUCUGGUAAACAGCUCCUGGCCUGGAGCCUUGGGAUGGAUCUGAUAGCCCUUGUAAUUUCCAUCCUGCCCAGCAAUAGUGACUGUUUUCUGGAAUAUCUCACAUAGCAUGGGGGAAGAGUAAUUCCAUUUAGAGAUUUGUGCUGAGAAUGAAGACAUUAAGAAAUGAGUCCUUUGCCACAAAUCACUCUUCUUCCCCCAGAGAACGAUGGUCAUCACACUGUGCUGGAGCCCCACGGUGUGAGGACGGCUCAUCUUCCAUGUUGGGGGUGCACCAGCCUUGUUAAUGUCAGUGAGAAAUGCUUGCAUUAAUAAUCCCAAAUGAUAUACUUGCUGUGCCAAAGCAAAAGGGAUGUUCUUUUGUGCUCAGAAACUUCAGCUGCCUGAGUUACUGUUGCAGAGAGUGUAUCCUUGUCAGCCUUAACGUUAAUUUAUGUUCCUGGGUUGGGCAUUUACAGGAAGUCAGCAGUGUUGGGAGGGGAUGAAUCAGCAGAAGCAGCAUUUUGGAAAGUAACCUCUGAAGCAGGUCUGGAAAUCAGCCUCCCUCGGGUUGUUAUGGACUCAGAAGGAUGUUCUGAUACACCGUGAUAUGAGGAUGGGGUAAAACUGUUCCUCUGGUUUGUGGGACUGGGAGGUUUCUGCUUGGCUCACGUGAUGGAGUGCCAGCAGUGAUGAGCAGUAUGCAUGAGGAGCAAAAGUGGCUGUAUUUGCAGCAUAGUGCAUCCACGGGACUGUGAAUACAGAAGCAAAAUAAUAAUAAUAAUAAUAAAAUAGAAUU
ensembl:lncRNA